GUAGAGGAGAAGUAGGAGAAGAAAAAGUGAGAAGAGAAAGGACAUUUACCUGAUUCAUCUGGAAAAAAUCACUCUUCACAGGCUGACAGAACACAGGUAUGGAGUGUCGAGUGUUUCUCCUCCUGCUGCUCUCAGGACUCUGUACACUGUC